UGUUAGGUCAGAAUUGGAACUGAAACUUUGAAAACAAAGCUUUUUCCCCCAGAAAUGGUGCUGUAAGCUAGUUCCUCAGCCUUGUGCUCAGAGAGGGGCAGCCUGCCCUGAGGAGCACCCUAUCUUGCCAUGGGCUGAGCCUGUGACCUGCCUGCACAUGUUGUGAUACCUCUUCCCCUGGGGCUACUCUGCGUGCCAGGUGGCUGUGAACCACACUGCAGGUGCCAAGCAUCUCUACAGGUGGAGAAAAAUCCCAGGGAAGGAGGGUAAAAGCACAGAUUUCUGCAAGAAUGCAUGCUGUUCCCUACCCAUUUCAUGCAUCCUGCUGUGCAGCCCAAUCAAAGCCCCACUUAGGAGGAACAGUGCUAAUCCUGGAUCUCUUGUUCCCAUCAGCAUGCAUCAACCAGUCAGGCUGCUGAUGAUGUGGGGAGGCACAGCUCUACUUUCUUUGCUCCUGAGUACUUUC